rnacentral:lncRNA from 10 species
GAAGAUUGCUGGAGCCCGGGAGUUCAAGGCUGCAGUGAGCUAUGAUCAGGCCACUGCACUCCAGUUUGAGGGACAGAGAGAGAUCCCAUCUCCCUAAAGAACAAAAAAGUGUGCUCUGGUGCCACACUGCCUGGUUAGAUCCUUUGUCCACCACUUAGAUGCAUGUUAUAUAAAUGCUGUCUUCAAUUUCCUCAUCUGUAACUUGGGGAUGAUAAUGCUGUCCCAUGAAGUGGUUGUGGGGACUAAAUGUACGUGGGCACAUUGGUAAGUAUUCAACAAGCUUGAUUUUUCCUGGAGAGGGAGAAAGAGCAUACAGUGAAGUGGCAUGGUCAGGUGCAUUGGGGCAAGGAUUAUUUCCUCUGGCUUCUGCCUCCUGGGAGGUACUAAGGAUGGAUCUGAAAUGUGUCUGCAGACCCCAGAGUUGGGGACUGCAGAGGGAAAUUGAGAUCAGGGACCCCAGUCUGGCAGAAAUGGGUGCAGCAUGGGGCAUUGGGUUCCUUCCAUCAGAGGCAUGGGGUGUGUUGCAGACAGUCAUGAGAUGUGGCUGAAUCUUGCAAGGGAGCCACUGUCCUAGGGUUGCUGCUUGAGACAAAGACCACUGUCAGUGGAACCUGGUGACCUUCACCCUUCUGUGUCAGGCUGCAGACAGCAAGAGAUGGCAGCAGAUUACACCCAACAGGAAAAGGGCCAUUGCUAUCCCACAGGUUGCCAUAGGAGGGGAUGAUAUCUCUUCCCUCUCCUCCUCCAGCAGUGUCAGCUGGGGAAGAGGUGGGUUGGUGUGCACAAAAGAGUAGACCGCAGACCAUGCUGCUUCUCCUCCAGUCUGCUGGGGCCCCAAGAGAGUCUGCAGCCCUUGGCCAGGGACCGGCUGACACAGGAGAACAAAAGAUCUCAGGCUGGGAUAACAUGGUGGUGCAGUUCAUCCUCUGGAGCUCCCUGUGAGAUCAGACUGGAGCCAGUCUCCAGCUGAGACCACAUCUCACUUAGCUCCUUCCCUGCCAUAUCCUGUUUUCCUUACUCCUAUCUCCUGAGAGUCCUGAAUGAAUUACAUGCACUCAAUCCGUGCCUCAGGCUCUGUUUUUCGGGAACUUGACCUAAGACAGAUAUCUUAGUACUAAAUACUUUGCAAGGCUUCAGAAGCUCUGCUAUCCACAGGCAGGUGAGAUAUUACCUUCCCUACCACCUGGCAGUCAUAGUCUAUGAUGCAACUCAGCUUUGUGGAAGUGCUUCUCUAAAGAACUUCCCCCAAUUUAAGAUGAUCUUAAUUUGCUUACUUGUUUACUGUCCAUUCAGCUGCUCUAAAAUGUGAGCUCCAAAUCAGGGACCAUGUCUGGUUGGUUACCCAUUUCCUGGGACCUAGAACGGGCCUAGCUCAGAGCAGGUGCUCACUAUUGAUGGAAUGCAUGUUGAAAGAAUGCAUGAAUCUCAUCUCCUUUUGUGGGUGAAAAUCUCAUCCUAUUCUCACUCCUGAUUAACUUUCUUUCUUUUUUUUUUUUCAAAACGGAGCCCUGAUCUGUCACCCAGGCUGGAGUGCAAUGGUGCCAUCUCAGCUCGCUGCAACCUCUGCCUUCUGGAUUAAAGCAAUUCUCCUGCCUCAGCCUCCCGGGUAGCUGGGAUUACAGGUGCACACCACCACGCCCGGCUAAUUUUUUGUAUUUUUAAUAGAGACAGGGUUUUGCCAUGUUGGCCAGGCUGGUCUCAAACCCCUGACCCUGUGAUCUGCCCGAUUUGGCCUCCCAAAGUCCUGGGAUUACAAACAUGAGCCACCGUACCCAGCCACUCUUGAUUAACUUAAUGGAAAUAUUUAGAGAUUCUUUCUUUUCUGGGUUCUAGAGUCUUCUCUGUAACCUCUGCAGGUAAUACAUUUUCCUUCCUGAUAAAGCAUUUCUAUGGUUGCUUUCACUUGCAAAUCCUCUAAUACUUAUUUAUUCCAUUUCUGAUUGGCAUUAGACAUAAUUCUCAAUUUUUAGUGACAGCACUUUUGUUAACUUACAUAUAAAUCGACUUUGCCUUGAAAUGUGACAUUGACUAGAAGGACGACACUUCUAACAUGUUGUAGAACAUAGUUUGACUGGCUAAUUUAUUAUUUAGAAGAAGCUAAUAUUGCCAUUAUGAGGGACUUAGGUGGCUCUGAAGAACAAGUUGUAUUUCUGAUGUUUGCAAUGUUAAAUCACAGAUAUUGCCAAUGUGAAAUAGUUUCCGUAUGCUGUGUUCUCAAUACACACCUUUUCCAAGGAUAUCCCAAGCUGUAGUCUUAGGAAACUGUGAUUUUUCUUAUUUGGUCUCAUAGGAAUUUGGGGAGCUAUGCGGGAUCUCCAUAAAAUGAGCUCCAGAAAGACACAUGUGUGCGCGCACACACACACACACACACACACACACUCACACAUGUACCGCACCACAAUUGAAUCUGUUUAUUUGGGACCCAUGAUUAUUUUCAACAAACACUUCUGAGAAAUAAUCUGAACACUUAAUUGGAUGCAAAAGAGUGAGUAUUUACUAUUCUACCCUUUAAUUAGCAUAAUCAAUGUUUCCAGCAGCAAAAGCAAUUGGAAAAUCGCUAGUUUUAUUAGGUUCAUUAUUCUCCCUUAGCGUAGUGUGGCAUCAGCAUGGCUAUUAUUCUUAAAUUGCCUCCUUAAAACAAGGGCUGGUGCUUCUUACAGGCCAUUCCUAACUCUUGGGUUUUGUAGAGAGUCCAAAACUCUUUAGAACCUAUAAUUCAAGGAAAGGCUCCACUUUGGUUUUGCAUUUUGUCUGGUCUCUUUGGCUGACAGAAUUUAUGUCAAAAGGUGCACAUGUUUGUGGGAGGCUCAUGGACAGCCCAUCACGUUUGUGCUUUGGUAGGAAGUACGUGCCAUUAAGGGGAAGGAGUUAGUUACUGAUUCUAGGGAACAAUUGGGUAGAAAGAGAUGGACUCCCUGUGUUUGAAAUUCAGAACUCAAGCUUGGCUCUAAGUGUUUCCUUGCUUUGCUGUGCUCCAGGGGAGUCCUUGAGCAGAAGGAAGCAAGUUGCCUGAGAUUCUUCAAAGCCCGCAGCCCUUUUGGAGGUUAGAUGGUUAUUCUCAGAGCCUUUAUGAUGCAUAAUAAAGACCUAGCUUGGACCAAUAUUAGGAUGAGUUAUCUUGCUAUUAACAUUCUUUUAGGUAGAAGUUGCUGGUCCCAUCUUGCUCACAAUCCUCCAAAGUUUGAAAGUUAUUUUCCAGGAGACUUGGCUUGCACUGAGAGCUGCCCUCCCACCCUCUCUCCAAAUUUCCUCUUGGGGGUAGCCUAACAAGGUGCUGUCACAGACCCUUGUCGGCCACGAUGACCCCACCCAGACCAUCCCUCUGCUGUUUCACUCUUUGAUAGUCUCUGGAGCUCUCUGGGGAGGGGUGAGACCUGCCGUCUAGUUUGUAUGGUUUGCCCAGGUCUUACAGUCAUGGCUGGCUGCCUCUCUCUGAGAACUAGAACUCCUGAACUUGGUGAAAGACCUCAGCCAUCGAUCAUGUUGAAUUAUCGGGGACACUCAUUUGAAAUCCGAGCCUGUUCCAGAUAGACUCUCUCUCUUUCUGCCCUGACCGUGAGAGAAGCCCUGCUGGACGGUGGAGACACUCGUGGGCUGUGAGCAAGGGAUGCAAAGGCUGCCGGGAAUCCCAUCUUUCCAGCAUCAUCUGCCAAGGCACAUUAGUUCCUGGGUAUCUGGAUGGGUUCUAGCAGCAUUACUGUCAUUGAAGGAAAAAUUUUAGCCAUAUUAAAGGUUAAUGCAGCAAUCUCCACAUAGGCUGCCUGGAAGGGAAGCAGGACAAGGUUAGGUUUUCCUUGUGAUGGACAGGAGGCAGGCGGCCCUCCCACAGCCCUGCCUGGCAAUACAGAUGUGUCCCCAAAAGGCACUGGGGGCCAGCUGGAGUGCUAUGCCGAGGCGGACUGACCCGGGCCGUGGGUUCACUCUGCUGGCAGCGGUUUCCCGCCAGCUCCUUGCAGAGUUGGCAGAUGGCCCAGCCCCACAGCAGGAGCCGGGAAUGGCAGAACGAGACACAACAAUUUGAUAUCCACUUGCCAGAUGAGCCGGGUGUCAUCAGUCGCCUGGCUCUAUGCCCAACCUCUUUUUGCAUAAACACUUAUGGAUUCAGCCAAGAGGAAAAGCACUCUGAUUAUGAAUUGAGCAGAAGGAAACAAAGUUCUGCAGAUAAACACCAAUGAAACAAAAAACCACGAAUAAGAAAAAUGACAGAAAAGGAGAACCUUCCCAGAAUCCUCCUGCCAGUGAACGGUCACCAGAGCAAGAGCAUGGAGUCCCUGGGUUUUGAACUGUGAGAUAAGGAAGAUGAUGAAAACCUCCCUAGCAGCCAGGAAUGACGGACGCUGGGGCUUUGAUGGGCACCGGGUGAAAUGGGCAGAGUGGCGCUUACCCGGGAUGGCGGUGAAGCGGGACCGGGAGGUCAUCGUGACAAAGGGUGGCAUGAGAAACUCCUGGAGGGCAGAGCCAUGCCUGCCAUUUUCAUCAUUGCAUUACCACCACCCAGCACAGUGCCUGGUACAAAAGAGUUGCUCAAUAAAUAAAUCAGGAUGAAUGGACAAAUACACGGAUAGGCACUUUGAACUACAGAUGAGCUUAAAUACUUUGUGUUUUUCUUAGUCAAACAUGUGCAAUUAAGCAUGUGAUAAAUUAUAUGAUGACCACACCUGUGUCUUGCCUGAUGUUCUUUGCAAUCACUAAACAAAGUCAAUUUUGCCUGUUUUGACAGUUCUGUUUUCAACCUAAUGAUCCGUUUCUUUUAACUUCUGGCUGUUGGCUUUGUUUGGGUUUGUUAGCCUGACAAAGUGGCAGAUAUUGGUAUUUGCUCUUUUGUUUAAAUGUCACGAACUUUAAAAAUGCCUUUGCUUUUGGUAAGAAACCCUAGUUAGGACAGUCUAGUGGUCAGGAUGAUUUGGGUUCUGAUGCAGUAACAACAACCCCCAAAUCUCAGUGGCUCCAUGCGGUGAGGUAUUUGUUAGUUUUUGAGACAGGGUCUCACUCUGUCACCCAGACUAGAGUGCAGUGGUGCAAUCUCAGCUCACUGCCACCUCUGCCUCCCAGACUCAAGUGAUUCUCUGCCUCCUGAGUGGCUGGGAUUACAGGCCCGUGCCACUACUGUCUGGCUAAUUUUUUUACUUAGUAGAGACAGGAUUUCACCAUGUUAGCCAGGCUGGUCUUGAACUCCUGACCUCAAAUGAUCCACCUGCCUUGGCCUCCCAAAGUGCUGGGAUGACAGGUGUGAGCCACCAUGUCUGGCCACAAUGAGGCUUAUUCUUGGUCAUGUUGCAUGUCUGGGCUGUGUUAGGGCAUUGUGGGGUGGUCUGUUCAUUGUGUUCACUCAGGGAUCCAGGCUGACAAAAGCCCCAUCUCUGCAUGUGUCCUUGAUCACCACUUCAGGGGAAAGGGAAUGUGCUGGAUCACAGAGCCUCUUAACACUUCCACCUGGAGGUGACUCAAGUUGCUCCUGCUCAUGGUUCAUCGGACAAAACGGAUCACAGAGUCAUGGGCAACUUCUCUGUGCCUGGAAGGGGAACCAAAAUAUGAAUAGCUACAUUGAUUUUCCCUAGCUAUUACACAGAAGGCCUCAUUUAAACACAGUUACUUAUUUGUGUUUUGAAGCUAAUUGUAGUCCAUCAACCUUCACAGAAGAUAUGUGCACUUCUAAGCUAUUAUUAAGCACAGUUUUUUUUUUCUUUUGAGACAGAGUCUCACUCUCUUGCCCAGACUGGUGUGCAGUGGCAUGAUCAUGGAUCACUGCAACUUCUGCCUCCUGGGUUCAAGUGAUUUUCAUGCCUCAGCCUCCCAAAGUGCUGGGAUUACAGACACCCACCACUGCACCUGGCUAAGUUUUGUAUUUUUAGUAGAGAUGGGGUUUCACCAUGUUGGCUUGGCUGGUCUGGAACUCCUGACCUCAGGUUAUCCACCUGCCUUGGCCUCCCAAAGUGCUGAGAUGACAGGCGUGAGCCACCGCACCCGGCCUUGAGUAUGAUUUUUGAUUGGGAACGUCAGAGUUACGGUUUUAGUCUGAGGACAGUAUGACGUGAAGGUGAAAAGUAGAGCUUGGCUGUGAGUUUGCUGGGAUUCCUGUGCUACUUCUACAGUUCUUCGGCUGUGUGACCAUCACCUUUG